UUAAUGUUUUAUCUCACUGGUUAGUGAUACAUGUAUUGUAAUAAGUAUUGUAUUGUAAUAAGUAUUGUAUUGUAAUAUUAUAUUGUAAUAAGUAACACCUGGUUUGAAUGCACCCCAGGGAGUAGAGGUUGUACAUAAUAGUGUGUGCUGGAAAGCACUGAAUCCAAUGACCAGAAUUAAUAUUUUGUCAAAGAUAUGUGAGAUAUAAUAAGUGCUAUAUACAAGCUGAAUAUUGUUAGUAUUAUUGUUGAUAUGUAUUGAUCGUAAGUAAGUGAUUUUUCAUGACUUCCUUACUAAGGGGGGAUUUAAUGUAGUGACCAAACUCGUUUUUACCAUUACAAAACUUGGUUUUUUAUUUAAGAACACCGUACAGCAUAUUGGGUGUGUCUAAUUUAAAACAUACGUGUCAGACCCGAAGCCUCAUUACUUUAAUGGUCACGUGGGUCUGUGUACUUACGUUAAGGACAAAGUAGUCCCUUGAUUAUUUAUCUAUAAAUUGUUUGUAGGUAAAGUUAAAUGGACCGUAAUGAAAUUAUGAUAUUUUCUCAUGUAUGUUUUAUUGUUCUAUCCUAAACUUGAUCAUUAUACUUAGUUCAGAAGGAUGUGCAUUCAUGCUCGAAAAGUAGUCCUUACGAAUGCGCGCUAUGUCAGGCAAGGCCCUGAUGGGUAUUUUAUAUAGCGGACAUUCGUUCACUUGUUUUAAGCGAUGCUGGUCUGUCUCCAUUUACUCCGACACGCUUAAGUUUUGCCGUCAAUGUAGCCUGUUUGUGUUGCACCAUUUAAACAGCCGCUGAGGCGUAAGUUGAGGUUACUGAGGUUACAAACUACGCUACAAAGCUACAAUUGACGAUGACGUAUGAUUUUUUCUUACCCGUGUGACAUUUAGUCUAGGGGGUUUCCGUUUUCCGUUUUUAUUUAUAAACGAAAUAAACUUCAUUUGCACUUCA